CAGCAGCCGCGGUAAUUCGUAGGGUGCUAGAGUUGUCCGGAUUUACUGGGUGUAAAGGGUGCUCAGGUGGGUUUGUAAGUCAGAGGUGAAAUCCCAAAGCUUAACUUUGGAGCUGCCUUUGAUACUGCAAGUCUAGAGUUUGAGAGAGGGCAAUGGAAUAUCUGGUGUAGCAGUGAAAUGCGUAGAUAUCAGAUAGAACACCAAUGGCGAAGGCAGUUGCCUGGCUCAUAACUGACGCUAAAGCACGAAAGUGUGGGGAGCAAACAGGAUUAGAUACCCUGGUAGUCCACACCCUAAACGAUGAAUACUAGAUGUUGGUCCUUUUUAGGAUCAGUAUCCAAGCUAACGCAUUAAGUAUUCCACCUGGGAAGUACAAUCGCAAGGUUGAAACUUAAAGGAAUUGACGG
rnacentral:rRNA from 1 species